rnacentral:lncRNA from 1 species
AGGUAAAUUAUAUCUAUUGUCUUAUUGAUUUUUUUAAAUUCCAAUUUGGGAAGACUUAUAAUGUCUAUAUUUAAUGUGUAUAAUGUAUAUGGUAGGUAAAUUACUUUUUAAUAUUUUUAAACACAAUACAAAUGUUCAUUUUCUUUCAAUAACAGCUUUUCUGGGGAAAUUUCAAACUGCUGAUUUUUAAAUUAUCCAUAUCUCUUUUGGGAAGAACAAGUUAUGUGGGUGACUUUCAGUUUGCUAUUUUUAAUCUAGCAUGUUUUUUUAUAUC